AUUGAACGCUGGCGGCAGGCCUAACACAUGCACGCCGAACGAGUGGCGGACGGGUGAGUAAUGUCUGGGAAACUGCCUGAUGGAGGGGGAUAACUACUGGAUACGGUAGCUAAUACCGCAUACCAUCGGAUGUGCCCAGAUGGGAUCAGCCAGUAGGUGGGGUAACGGCUCACCUAGGCGACGUUCCCUAGCUGGUCUGAGAGGAUGACCAACCACAGUGGAACUGAGACACGGUCCAGACUCCUACGGAAGGAAGCAGUGGGGAAUAGUGCACAAUGGGAGCAAGCCUGAUGCAGCCAUGCGGAGUGUGGGAAGAAGGCCGUCGGGUUGUAAGGCACUUUCAGCGGGGAGGCGUUACCCGCAGAAGAAGCACCGGCUAACUCCGUGCCAGCAGCCGCGGUAAUUC
rnacentral:rRNA from 1 species